GAAUCGUACCUUUUCGGUUCGGAACAACACAGGGAAACUUGUGCUAAUACCGGAUAAGCCCUUACGGGGAAAGAUUUAUCGCCGAAAGAUCGGCCCGCGUCUGAUUAGCUAGUUGGUGGGGUAAUGGCCCACCAAGGCGACGAUCAGUAGCUGGUCUGAGAGGAUGAUCAGCCACAUUGGGACUGAGACACGGCCCAAACUCCUACGGGAGGCAGCAGUGGGGAAUAUUGGACAAUGGGGGCAACCCUGAUCCAGCCAUGCCGCGUGAGUGAUGAAGGCCCUAGGGUUGUAAAGCUCUUUUGUGCGGGAAGAUAAUGACGGUACCGCAAGAAUAAGCCCCGGCUAACUUCGUGCCAGCAGCCGCGGUAAUACGAAGGGGGCUAGCGUUGCUCGGAAUCACUGGGCGUAAAGGGUGCGUAGGCGGGUCUUUAAGUCAGGGGUGAAAUCCUGGAGCUCAACUCCAGAACUGCCUUUGAUACUGAAGAUCUUGAGUUCGGGAGAGGUGAGUGGAACUGCGAGUGUAGAGGUGAAAUUCGUAGAUAUUCGCAAGAACACCAGUGGCGAAGCGGCUCACUGGCCCGAUACUGACGCUGAGGCACGAAAGCGUGGGAGCAAACAGAUUAGAUACCCUGGUAGUCCACGCCGUAAACGAUGAAUGCCAGCCGUUGGUGGGUUUACUCACCAGUGGCGCAGCUACGCUUUAAGCAUUCCGCCUGGGGAGUACGGUCCGCAAGAUA
rnacentral:rRNA from 1 species